UCAAGCUAGAAAGAGCGCAAGGGGAAUGCCUUGGCAUCAGGAGCCGAAGAAGGACGUGACAAGCUGCGAUAAGCUGCGGUGAGCUGCACAUAAGCUUUGACCCGCAGAUUUCCGAAUGGGGAAACCCGGCAGAGCAAUACUCUGUCAGCGUGCGUUGAAUCAAAUAGGCGUACGCGGGGAACCGCCUGAACUGAAACAUCUAAGUAGGGCGAGGAAGAGAAAUCAACCGAGAUUCCGCUAGUAGUGGCGAGCGAACGCGGAAGAGGGCAAACCGGAGGAUUUAUCCUCCGGGGUUGUGGACAGUUUUUUAGCAACUGGAACUAGGAGAACGGUAUGGGAAGGCCGGCCAUAGCGGGUGAUAGCCCCGUAUCCGAAAGGGAAGGUUGUGCGACUGGAUCCAGAGUACCGCCGGACACGUGAAACCCGGUGGGAAGCUGGGGGGACCACCCUCCAACCCUAAAUACUACCUGAUGACCGAUAGAGGAGCAGUACCGUGAGGGAAAGGUGAAAAGGACCCCGGGAGGGGAGUGAAAGAGAACCUGAAACCUUGUGCUUACAAGCACUCAAAGCCCGUUAAAGGGUGAUGAGGUACCUUUUGUAGAAUGGUCCGGCGAGUUAUUGUUACUGGCAAGCUUAAGGCAUUCAGUGCCGGAGGCGCAGGGAGACCGAGUCUGAAUAGGGCGUAUGAAGUCAGUGGCAAUAGACCCGAAACCGGGUGACCUAUCCAUGGGCAGGUUGAAGUGGGGGUAAAACCCCAUGGAGGACCGAACGCACGCCCGUUGCAAUGGUCGGCGAUGACCUGUGGAUAGCGGUGAAAUUCCAAUCGAACCCGGAGAUAGCUGGUUCUCCCCGAAAUAGCUUUAGGGCUAGCGUUGGCUUAGAUUACCGGAGGUAAAGCACUGAAUGGGCUAGGGGCCGAUAAGGUUACUGAACCCUAUCAAACUCUGAAUGCCGGAUAAUUGAUGGCCAGCAGUCAGUCUACGUGAGAUAAGUCUCGUGGACAAAAGGGAAACAGCCCAGACCCACAGCUAAGGUCCCAAAGAUACGCUAAGUGGAAAACGAUGUGGAGUUGCGAAAACAACCAGGAUGUUGGCUUAGAAGCAGCCACUCAUUAAAAGAGUGCGUAAUAGCUCACUGGUCGAGUGACUCUGCGCGGAAAAUAUAACGGGGCUAAGCGUAACACCGAAGCUUGGGCUGCACAGCAAUGUGCGGGGUAGGGGAGCGUCGAAUAUGGGGUGAAGUCGCAGCGGAAGCAGCGGUGGACUGUAUUCGAGUGAGAAUGCCGGAAUGAGUAGCGAGAAUUAUGUGGGAAUCAUAAUGGCCGAAAAUCUAAGGUUUCCUGGGGAAGGUUCGUCCGCCCAGGGUAAGCCGGGAGCUAAGGCGAGGCCGAAAGGCGUAGUCGAUGCACAUACGGUUGAAAUUCCGUAGCCACCGAACCUUAAGUACACUGACACAUGGAGAUAGCGGGACCCGGGCGUUGGUUGACCCGGGCGUAAGGGACCGAACUUUAGUAGGGAAGUCCGCGAUGCUCUGUGGCGAGAAAAGGUGUAUGGUAUGCUAAGGUGCCCGUACCGCAAACCGACACAGGUAGAUGAGGAGAGAAUCCUAAGGCCAACGGGAGAAGGGUUGUUAAGGAACUCGGCAAAAUGACCCCGUAACUUCGGGAUAAGGGGAGCCUCCUACGGGAGGCCGCAGCGAAUAGGCCCAAGCGACUGUUUACCAAAAACACAGGUCUCUGCUAAAUCGAAAGAUGACGUAUAGGGGGUGACGCCUGCCCGGUGCUGGAAGGUUAAGGGGAGUGCUUAGCGCAAGCGAAGGUGCGAACUUAAGCCCCAGUAAACGGCGGCCGUAACUAUAACGGUCCUAAGGUAGCGAAAUUCCUUGUCAGGUAAGUUCUGACCCGCAUGAAAGGCGUAAUGAUUUGGGCACUGUCUCAACAGCCCGCCCGGCGAAAUUGUAGUACCGGUGAAGAUGCCGGUUACCCGCGACAAGACGGAAAGACCCCAUGGAGCUUUACUGUAGCCUAAUAUUGGGUUUCGAUGUUGCAUGCACAGGAUAGAUGGGACACUGGGAAACAAUCGCUUUGGCGGUUGCGGAGUGGCCGUUGGGAUACCAUCCUUGCGAUAUUGGAAUUCUAACCUGCGGCUCUGAAUCGAGUCGGGGGACAUUGUUAGGUGGGCAGUUUGACUGGGGCGGUCGCCUCCUAAAAAGUAACGGAGGCGUUCAAAGGUUCGCUCAGCUUGAACGGAAAUCAAGCAAAAGAGUGCAAACGCAGAAGCGAGCCUAACUGCGAGACUGACGGGUCGAGCAGUAACGAAAGUUGGAGUUAGUGAUCCGGUGGUAUGUGAGUGGAAAUGCCAUCGCUCAACGGAUAAAAGUUACCCUGGGGAUAACAGGCUGAUCUCCCCCAAGAGUCCACAUCGACGGGGAGGUUUGGCACCUCGAUGUCGGCUCAUCGCAUCCUGGGGCUGUAGUCGGUCCCAAGGGUUGGGCUGUUCGCCCAUUAAAGCGGCACGCGAGCUGGGUUCAGAACGUCGUGAGACAGUUCGGUCCCUAUCCGUCGCGGGCGUAGGAAAUUUGAGAGGAUCUGUCCUUAGUACGAGAGGACCGGGAUGGACAUACCGCUGGUGUACCAGUUGUUCCGCCAGGAGCAUCGCUGGGUAGCUAUGUAUGGAUGAGAUAAACGCUGAAAGCAUCUAAGCGUGAAACUCGCCUCAAGAUGAGAUUUCCCAUUCCUUAUGGAAGUAAGACCCCUCAGAGAUGAUGAGGUAGAUAGGAUGGAAGUGGAAGUGCCGCGAGGCAUGGAGCGGACCAUUACUAAUCGGUCGAGGACUUAACCAA
rnacentral:rRNA from 1 species